UGAAAAUGGAUGACGCUUAAGCGGGUUGCCGACACCAGACCGUUUCGAUAAGAAGCGAUCGAAAUGAGUAGGAGGGCGUGGCGGUUUUGUUGAGAAGGAUGAGACGCAAGUCUAUCUGAAACGGCCGCUAGUGCAGAUCUUGGUGGUAGUAGCAAAUAUUCAAGCGAGAUCCUUGAAGGGCGAAGCGGGGAAGGGUUCCACGCGAACAUUGAUUGGGCGUGGGUGAGUCGUUCCUAAGCCGGGUGGUAAUCGUUCUUCGAUCGGCGAAAGGGAAGCGGGUUAAAAUUCUCGCACACGGAUGUGGAAGCGGUGACGCAAAUUGAGGUGGAGACGUUAGCGGUGGCACUGGGCAGAGUUUUCUUUUCUGUUUAACCUGUGACUGCACUCUGUGGAAUCCGAUUAUCGGGCGAAACAGGUGCUUAUGGGAAGAGCGUCGGGGCGUCCCCGGCGUCCAGUAUGCCACCGAUAGCCCUUGAAAAUCCAUCUGCAAUGAAAUUUCACGCCGUGGCGUACCGAUAACCGCAUCAGGUCCCCAAGGUGAACAGCCUCUGCUCAAUAUGAACAAUGCAGGUAAGGGAAGUCGGCAAAAUAGACCCGUAACUUUGGGAAAAGGGUUGGCUCUAGUGGGGUGAAGGACUACGCUGAGUCAUUCGGAUUUGUUCGAGACUGAGUCGGGCGGAGUUAACUGUGGCAACGCGGUUUUGGCUCUACCUGGUCGCUUGGAUGAGUUUGGAUGGUUCGACCUUCAGCAUGCUCCAAACUAGAACUGCAACGGGCAAAGGGAAUCCGACUGUUUAAUU
rnacentral:rRNA from 1 species